CUUCCCCAGGUGCAGCGGGGGCUGCUGGGGCGCAGUGAGGUAGAAGGAGCCCUGUCACCUCUCAGGUAUCCAGUCCUCCCUGCCAGCACUGCUUGGAGGUCAGAAAAAGAUGACUAAAGAGUUUGUCCCCUCCGGAGAAGAUGCUGAAUCCCAAGACAAAGUCUUGGGACCAAAAAAAACAAAGUCAUGAUUUGGAAUCUCAUGGAACUUCCCUGAUAAGCCCCAUCGGUCCACUUUUGCCUCCCAAGGGUCUCAGCGAGCAGCCGAAGGCCUCACCUCCCAACUUCCAGGGGUGAAGCAGAGAGAGACCAUCCUGUGAAGUUCCCACAAAGCAUUUGCCAUUUGCUCUGGCAGAGCAGUGGCUAUGGAACUUUUCCUUUGUAACAACUGAAGAAACUGAGGCAUGCAGGGGAAUUAUGGGUCUUCCACAAGGUCACACAGUGAGUUGGAGGAAGGAGGUAAAUCGGUUUAGUUGAAAGAAUCUUUCCCACAGCUGUAAGUCAGGAUCGUGGCUAAAGAAAGCUGAGAACCUACCACCCCAAGGACAGACAGACAGCUGGAGUUCACGGCCAGCACUGGCAUUUGAGAAGACAGAACAAGGACUGGCUGAUUUUUUUUCCCCCUUUUUUAACAGCAAUCAACAUUUAUCCACAAGGCCUCAGUGAGGUACAAGGGAAUGGAAAAAACUUUAUCACCAGCGAGGGCCAAGUGCUGACCUUCGGAUUUUCGGUCCGUGAUUCCCAGGACUCGAGAGAGCCCUUGAUGGUAGGGGAGUGAGGGAGAAGAAAGGGGUGAAAUAGCAAAUAAGGAGGUGUCUCUGCCCCCCCCAGUCACUGCAAGAUUCUGGGGUGACUGAGGGGGUGAGGGAGGAGGCAGGAAAGUCACAUUUGUGUGGGAAAACAAUGAACAUGAAUAUAAAGAUAUUGAAUGUAGAAGCAAAUAAAGAAAUCUUAUACGUGAUUUAAAAAAUUUUCAGAAUUAAAAAAUUUUAUAUCUAUUUUCAGAA